UCGGGAAUCUUGCACAAUGGGCGAAAGCCUGAUGCAGCAGCACCGUGUGAGCGAGGAAGGUCUUCGGAUCGUAAAGCUCUGUUGUUGGGGACGAAGGGCGAAGGGUUAAUAGCCCCUAGCCUGACGGUACCCUUCGAGGAAGCCCCGGCUAACUACGUGCCAGCAGCCGCGGUAAUACGGAGGGUGCGAGCGUUAUCCGGAAUCACUGGGCGUAAAGGGCACGUAGGCGGUUUGUUAAGUCCGAUGUUAAAGACCGAGGCUCAACCUCGAUACGGCGUUGGAUACUGAUAAGCUUGACUUCUGGAGAGGAAAGUAGAAUUACCAGUGUAGCGGUGAAAUGCGUAGAUACUGGUAGGAAUACCCAUUGCGAAGGCAGCUUUCUGGACAGAUAGUGACGCUGAGGUGCGAAAGUGUGGGGAGCAAACCGGAUUAGAUACCCCCGUAGUCC
rnacentral:rRNA from 1 species